rnacentral:rRNA from 1 species
UACGUAGGGUGCGAGCGUUGUCCGGAAUUAUUGGGCGUAAAGAGCUUGUAGGCGGUUUGUCGCGUCGGGAGUGAAAACUCGGAGCUUAACUCCGAGCCUGCUUCCGAUACGGGCAGACUAGAGGUAGGCAGGGGAGAGCGGAACUCCUGGUGUAGCGGUGGAAUGCGCAGAUAUCAGGAAGAACACCGGUGGCGAAGGCGGUUCUCUGGGCCUUACCUGACGCUGAGGAGCGAAAGCGUGGGGAGCGAACAGG